CCCCAGACGCCGACGAUGGGGUCAUGGCGCCCCGAACCCUCCUCCUGCUGCUCUCGGGGACCCUGGCCCUGGCCGAGACCUGGGCGGGCUCCCACUCCAUGAGGUAUUUCAGCACCGCGGUUUCCUGGCCGGGCCGCGGGGAGCCCAGCUUCAUUGCCGUGGGCUACGUGGACGACACGCAGGUCGUGCGGGUCGACAGUGACGCCGUGAGUCUGAGGAUGAAGACGCGGGCGCGGUGGGUGGAGCAGGAGGGGCCGGAGUAUUGGGACCUACAGACACUGGGCGCCAAGGCCCAGGCACAGACUGACCGAGUGAACCUGCGGACCCUGCUCCGCUACUACAACCAGAGCGAGGCGGACCCCCCCAAGACACACGUGACCCACCACCCUGUCUCUGAACAUGAGGCAUAACGAGGUGCUGGGUUCUGGGCUUCUACCCUGCGGAGAUCACAUUGACCUGGCAGCGGGAUGGGGAGGACCAGACCCAGGACAUGGAGCUCGUGGAGACCAGGCCCACAGGGGAUGGAACCUUCCAGAAGUGGGCGGUUGUGGUAGUGCCUUCUGGAGAGGAACAGAGAUACACAUGCCAUGUGCAGCACAAGGGGCUGCCCAAGCCCCUCAUCCUGAGAUGGGUCACACAUUUCUGGAAACUUCUCGAGGGUCCAAGACUAGGAGCUUCCUCUAGGACCUCAUGGCCCUGCUACCUUCCUGGCCUCUCACAGGACGUUUUCUUCCCGCAGAUAGAAAAGGAGGGAGCUACUCUCAGGCUGCAAGCAGCCAAAGUGCCCAGGGCUCUGAUGUGUCUCUCACGGCUUGUAAAGUGUGAGACAGCUGCCUUGUGUGGGACUGAGAGGCAAGAUUUGUUCAUGCCUUCCCUUUGUGACUUCAAGAACCCUGACUUCUCUUUCUGCAAAGGCAUCUGAAUGUGUCUGUGUCCCUAUAGGCAUAAUGUGAGGUGGUGGGGAGACCAGCCCACACCCGUGUCCACCAUGACCCUGUUCCCCACACUGACCUACAUUCCUUCCCCGAUCACCUUUCCUGUUCCAGAGAAGUGGUGCUGGGAUGUCUCCAUCUCUGUCUCAACUUCAUGGUGCACUGAGCUGUAACUUCUUACUUCCCUAUUAAAAUUAGAAUCUGAGUAUAAAUUUACUUUUUUCAAAUUAUUUCCAUGACGGGUUGAUGGGUUAAUUAAAGGAGAAGAUUCCUAAAAUUUGAGAGACAAAAUAAAUGGAAGACAUGAGAA
rnacentral:misc_RNA from 1 species